UUGCUUUCCUAGAAACUUACCAGGUUCUAGCACCAGGAAGCUUGCUUCCACCAGAUCUGUUGCUACUCACAAGAACGUGGAGAAGGUGCAACAGCAGAUGAUCGUGUGAUCGGAUUUGGCGGCAACUGUGGCUGAACAAGCAGCCACUAAUCGGGUGGUUUUGAGUAAAAAAAUUGGAGGAGACAGAUCGCGUGGUGGCUCAAAUGCGCCUGGAACAAAUGGGCAAGGAGUUGGGAGAAUCAUCUGGUGCAUCGCAGGAGUUGGGUGGACAACAACAACAGAUUCCUCAAAUUUUCAAAGCCGCUCAGGAGAAGGGUGAUCCAAUGCAUGGUGGUAAGGGAGGGAUGCAUGGUUUACAACGUGAACCUCGACCACAUGGGGAUCAUCAUCAUCAGGUAUUGCUGAAGCUGCCUUUCCCCAAGUUUUCCUAGGGUGAUCCUUUGGUAUGGUUGGACAAAUGUUUGGAGUAUUUUUUGGUGCAUGGUGUUCCUACUCCAAUGUGGGUUUCGGUGGCUUCGAUGAAUUUGGAGCAGAUUGCAGCCCAAUGCUGGCAGUUUCACAAACUGUGACAUGGUUUGGUGGUUGGCAAGAAUUCUCUCCUAUAGCGAUUUCUAAAUUUAAGGUUGAUGCUUAUCCUAGGGCCUUACAAAGAUUGAUGGAGUUAAGACAGACUAAGAGUUUGGAGCAAUAUGUUAAGGAGUUUGAUCAGGUUCGCUAUGGGGUAGUUGUUCACAAUUCACAGUUGGAUGAAUUGUUCGUUGUCACACAUUUUGUGUGUGGCCUUAAGUUUGACGUUUAGAGUGUGGUGCGAGUACAGAUGCCCACAACAGUUGAUCGGGUAAUAGUCUUGGCUCAAACUCAAUACGAGGUGUUGGAUCAGGAAAAAGGCAAAGGCCAUCGCCAGAUGUUCCCUAACAAACAGCCCAUGGGAAACAAUAAGGGUGAUGGGAGACAACCUCAAGGGGAGUGGACUUCUCCAAAGAACGAUAUGUUCAGGAGUUUAGAAGGCUCAAUGGUCUCUAUUAUGCCUAUGGGGAGAGGUUUGAGCCAGGUCAUAUUGCUAAAUGUACCAAGAGAGGGCUUGUGCAGUAGAAUGCAGUUAUUACUGAGAAUGUGUCGAUGGUCUUGACUGAUGAAAUCUUGCAACAACUUGAGCAAGAAGAUGAGCAACAAGCAGUGUGUUGUCAGGUAUCUGUUCAUGCUCUAUCAGGUAUUGUGGGUAAUAAAGUAUGAAGGUGAGAGCUAUUGUGCAAAAGUAGUAAUGGUGAUGUUGGUGGAUUCGGGGAGUCCUACGAGUUUCAUCAGUGAUAACAUGGUUCAACAGUUGGGAUAAUCUGUUCUGCCUUGUGAAUCUGUUAUUGUUAAGGUGGCCAAUUGAGAUUCUAUGGUCUACAAUACAAUGGUUAAACAGUUGGAGUGGUGGGCUAAUGGCCAAUUCUAUCAUACUGAUAUGAGAGUGCUCCCUAUUAGUGCUUUUGAUGUUGUACUUGGGUAUGAUUGGUUGCAGGAUCAUAGCCCUAUGGAGUAUGAUUGGAAGACUUAUGUGCUAAGAUUUGUGGAUGAAAAUGCGCAUGUAUGUCUGCAGGGUGAUGGAGUAGCAAAUUCUUAUACGGUACAUGAUGUUUCUGUUUCUCAGGUGCACAAAUGGGUGAGCGGGAAUGAUAUUUGGGAUUUUGUUGUGUUGGAGUUUCCUAAGGAGCAACAUGAGGAUAAUUAGAGUACAGAUAUUCAGAGUAUUUUGAUGUGGAGUUCCAGGAUAUUUUCACUACUCCAACUCAAUUACCUCCAGCCAGGGUAUAUGACCAUUACAUUCCUUUGUCAGCUGGGGAUACUCCUAUUAAUUUGAAGCCUUACAUAUAUUCUUCUUUUCAUAAAAAUGAAGUUGAGAGACAGGUGAAUGGGUUGCUCAAGGCUAGGUUUAUCACUAAUAGUGUUAGCCCUUUUGCUUCCCCUGUGUUGUUAGUAAAAAAGAAUGAUGAUUCUUGGAGGUUUUGUGUUGACUAUAGGAAGUUGAAUGAUCUGACAGUAAAUAAUAGAUUUCCGAUGCCUAUAGUUGAGGAGAUUCUGGAUGAAUUGACACGCACUCAGUUCUUUGCUAGUUUGGAUCUCUCCUUUGGGUAUCACCAAAUCAGAAUGAGGGAGUCAGAUGAGUACAAAACAACUUUUAAAACCCAUCAAGGCCAUUACCAGUUUAAGGUUAUGUCAUUUGGUCUUACCAAUGCACCUGUUACGUUUCAAUGUGUUAUGAAUUCAAUUUUAUCUCCUUCAGAAAUAUGUACUGGUAUUCAUAGAUGAUAUCUUGAUCUAUAGUGCCUCAUGGACUGACCAUUUACAACAUAUCAGAUUGGUUUUGGGGCAGUUGAGAGGACCAAGUGUGCUUUUGGUAAAAUUGAAUUAUUAUAUUUGGGUCACAUUAUUUCUCAGAAGGGUGUGGCUACAGACCCAUCUAAAACUGAAGCCACGAGUAAAAGGCCCACCCCUACUAGUGUGACUGAGUUGAGAGGGUUUUUGGGGCUUACUGGAUAUCAUAGGAGGUUUGUGAAGCAUUAUGGGUUGAUUGCUAAACCUCUCACUAAUUUGUAGAAGCAUAAGGCAUUUCAAUGGAGUUCAGAGGCUGAAGCAGCUUUUCAGAAGUUGAAAUAGGCUAUGAUGUCUGCACCUGUGCCGGCAUUGCCUAACUUUGAUGAGGUGUUUGUGGUAGAAACUGAUGCUUGUGCAGAUGGAAUUGGUGUUGUUCUAAUACAGAAAAACAAACAUAUUGCUUACUUGAGCAAAGCUUUGAGUGUCAAGAACAGGUUGUUGUCUAUAUGACAAAGAAUUUUUAGCACUACUCAUGGCGUAGAGAGAUGGAGACAGUACCUUCAAAGGCCUGAAUUUGUUAUUAGAACAGACCACAAAGCUUUGAGUUUCUUGGAUGAUCAGGUAUUGCAAUCAGAUUUGCAAAAGAAGGCAAUGACGAAUUGAUGGGGUUGCAAUGCAAAAUUAUCUAUAAAAAGGGGAAAGAAAAUGUGGUUGCAGAUGCAUUGUCUAGAGUGGGACAUAUGAUGGCUUUGCAAACUUUGGAUGAGGUGGAGCCUUUGUAGGUGUAAGAAGUGAUUAAUUCUUAUGUCACUGAUGAGGAGGCACAAGAGUUGUUGGCUCAACUAGUUUUGCAUAGUCCUAAUGAACAUGGCUUUUCUGUACACCAGGGAGUUAUCAGAAAAGGCUCUCAAAUUUGGAUAGCACAAAACUCUGCUCUUAGAACUAAAAUCAUUUAUGCUCUACAUGAUAGUGUGAUUGGAGGACAUUCUAGGAGUAUGGCAACCUAUCAUAGAGUGAAGAAGUUGUUCUGGUGGAAGAGUUUAAAGAAUGAUGUGGUUGUGUUUGUCCAACAAUGUGAAGUAUGUCAACAUGCUAAAGCAGAAAGAGUGGUUUCUCCAGGGUUAUUGUAGCCUUCGUCAGUUUCUCAAGGUGCCUGGCAAGACUUAACCAUGGAUUUUGUAGAGGGUCUUCCCAAAUCAGAAGGUUACAACACUAUUUUGGUGGUGGUGGAUAGGUAUUCCAAGUAUGCCCACUUCUUUCCUUUGAGACGCCCAUUUUCAGAUGCUACUGUGGCCCAAUUUUUUCUGGAUAAUGUGGUGAAAUUGCCUGGCAAUCCUAAGACUUUAGUGUCUGACAGAGACAAAAUUUACUAGUCAUUUUUGGAAAGCUUUAUUUCAGUCUUUGAAUACCAAGUUGGCUUUAACAACUGCUUAUCACCCACAAUCAGAUGGGCAGUCUGAAAGGGUGAACCAAUGUGUGGAAAUGUAUUUGAGAUGUGCCAUUCAAGACAACCCUGCUAAGUGGAAAAGAUGGUUACCUCUAUCAGAGUUUUGGUAUAAUACUUCCUAUCACACUUCCUUGGGUGUUCACCUUUUAAAGUGUUAUAUGGGUAUGAUCCAGUGUUUGUUACUGCUCCAAUUUGGUCUGAUAGUGAGGAUCAGACAAUGGAUGAUUUGUUAGCUAAAAGGCAACAAUGUUCUGAAGUGUUAAUAUCAAGGAUAGUUGCAGCUCAAAAUAGAAUGAAGGUCAAAGCUGAUAAGAAAAGAUCAGAUAGAUAAUUUCAUGUGGGAGAAUUGGUUCUUCUCAAACUACAGCCUUAUGUUCAAAGUUCUGUGGUGAACAUACCUUGUCACAAGCUAGCUUAUAAGUAUUUUGGGCCCUUUAAGGUGUUGCAAAGAAUUGGAGCCGUUGCUUACAAGUUGCAGUUACCUGACAAUUCAUUGGUUCAUCCUAUUUUCCUUGUCUCACAGUUGAAGGCUUUACACCUAAUGCUACUCCAAUUUUUCAGAUCUGUCCUAGUUAGUGGACUUUUCACAAGUGGAUGUGAAACCAGUCCAGAUUGUGGAUAGAAGACUGGUAAGGAAAGGCAGUCAUCCUGUGGUUCAAGUUUGUAUUGUUUGGUCCCAUUUACCCGCUGAUGCUUCUAUUUGGGAGGAUUAUGAGGUGAUUAAGAAGUGUUUUCCAUCUGCUAUUGAUUGGGGACAGUCAAUUUCUAGCAAAGAGGUGAUGUCAGUACGUGGAAGGUGCUCAGGUAUAAGUGAGCAGUGAUUCAGUAUUAAGAAUUGAGUAAUAGUUGGGCUUGAUUAGGUGGUUGUUGCUUGGGCCCUAAUGGACUUGUAAUUAAUCUAUAAAUACCUGAUCCAGCGGUAUUAUAAGGGAUCUAUGAAAAUGAAAUAACAGAAAGGUACCUGAACCACAUACCUUGCUUUCCUGGAAACUUACCAAGGUUCUACCACCAGGAAGUUUGCUUCCACAAGAUAUGUUGCUACCCACGGUGUUGGCGGCGCUCCAUCACCAAAGGAUUGUGACAUGUGGUUAUGCUAGGGCCACAGGGAAAGCGAUGAUCAGCCUACGACAGACUUAGGUAGUUAGGUCUCGUCGUUCUAUUUCUUAUUCUUUCCCCCCCACACAAGGAUGCACGCGAUAGAGACGUGCUUAGGAGAGUGGCACGACUAGAGCGAGCACGGCAGCUAGCAGGUACGGCUGGACCCGGACGCGGCCGCCGGCGCCCGCGCGCCGCCCGGCCUCCACGGCCCGCACCGCCUCCUGCCGCAGCUCCGGCGGCAGCUGCAGGCAGACCCAGUCCAUGAGCGCGUCCACGUCCUUGGCGAAGUCCAGCAGCGAGCAGUCUGCUUUCGUUGAGCUGAUGGCGGAAGAUAGCGGAGGCUGGGCAUGCUCCCCAAGGACAAGGAGAUCAAAUCAUGGGAGGCUUCGGCAGGCAUGCAAGCUGAUACACUGUAAGUACAACUCUCAAACUGGUAUUUCCUUUGAUUUGGCGGAUUCAUCUUCGAGUUUUGGUGUCCCCUCGGGUGAGCAUGGAGCCUAUGGUUCUUCCAGCGAAUCCGCUUCUUCUUCGGAUGAACCUACUGGUGCUCAUACUCAGAUUGAGGGGGGAGUUAAUUGUGAUAAUCGGAUGUUGGAACAAACAUCUUUGGUAGGGGGCGAUACUCUGAUUCCCCACAAUACAGACUCCGGUGUUUUAGCUGAACAAAUUGUUCUUACAGCAAAACACUUUGGAUCCCCUGAAGAAGACGACAAGGUGUUCACGAAAAUUGAAUCAAAUCGAAAUGUGAGGCUGCGGCGGGGUCCUAAGGCUCGGAUAAUGGCCUCAGGUAAACCUUUGCCACGCAAAGCUUGCAUUAUCAGGCCAUGGCGCGGACCGCUGCCGCGGCCGCGAUCGGCGGCGAGACUGACGCUUGAGGCUUUCUUGACAGCGCACCCAUUCUGGACCCACAAAUCAGUGUCUUCAGGUGGUAACGAGAUAAUUUCGGGAGUUAAUGCUGGGGGGCUGUCGUCUCCCGAAGAGUCGCGUGCGAUCCUCCCAAGGACGACUUGCACUUCUUCCAGUUCGUGUGGCUGGGACAGCAAGGUUGGGAGAGGUCCUCAAGUUAACUCAUCGGACUCCGUUUUAGCCGACCUAAUCAAGAGGGCCAAGGCUUUUGGAAAACCACGCUCCUGCUUGUUCCGGCUUCAUCAAGGCAAGGUCCCUAGGCCCGUGGCGGUGGAUUUAAAAGGCGCCAUCCUCUCAUCGCAUUCACCAUCCUAUGCUGAGAUGGCUGCCCGUCCGCCUGCUCCAGCCAGCAGGUCGAGUGAAGCUGCUCAUCGCCCAUUCGCCCCAAACAGUAGACUCCCAGGGAUGGCGGUAUCCAGACAGAGUGAUGGGUGGCAUGGGCGCACCUCCCCACGUCAAGGACGUGGAUUUGGAGUGCAGCCGCAGCGCCAUGGUCCGGGGCACGGAGGUCCCCUGGGCCGGGGCAGUCUUGGUCGUGGAGCAGCAGGCCGGGGUGGACGAUUUCCACCACAGCCGCGGUUCCAACAGUACGGGGAGGUGCCCGCGGCAAGCCAGGAGACGAUGCCUCAGGCGGCCACUGCUGAUGGUAUGUCUUGGAUGCCAAGGGAUGCUGAGCGCAGGCAGUCGACAGCGGCUCCCCCAGGUAACUCUGUGAAAGCAAAGAAACUAAAGUCUCCUCUGUGCUUCCGUUGCAAGUUGAGUGGCCAUUUAAAUGAUGAGUGCAAGGCAGAUUUAGAUUGUGUGGUGUGUAACAAGAAGAAUUCACAUGUGGUAGCCAAGUGCCCCCUACUGAAAUUGCCUAAGCCCGAUGCCUCCUUCUUUGGCUUUGGUAAUAACGAGUUAGGCUUCUUUCGCAUUCCGGAUUUCGACUACAGGCUAGAAACACCUGACCCUGCCCCGACUGCUCUGAUCAAAGUGAGUGGGGGGAAGCUCUCGGCUGAGGCGGUGCAAGCUGAACUAGCUCGAUUCAUUACAAAAGAAUGGGUUUGGGAGGCGCUACCCCAUAGUGAUGAUUCCUUCUUGGUGGUAUUUCCCUCAGUUGAUGAACUAAUUAGGAUGGCUGAUGUGGAGUUCACUCUCAAAAAUCAUGGAGUUACUCUCACCAUCUCUGAAUGGAAGGAUGCUAGUGAUGUUGAACCCAGUUAUCAAUUGGACGAGGUUUGGGUUCAUGUGAGGGGAGUACCUCACGCUUGGAGGCAUUAUUUGGGUUUUUGGGCCCUAGGAUCGGUAAUCGGCGCCACUCUUGAUGUAGACAUGUACACCUAUAGAAAGAUGGGCGUCAUCAGACUGCUUGUUGGUGUGAUGAGCAGAGAUCCACUACCCCUGACCACCGAUAUUGUUUUUGACAAGAAGGGAUACGAGAUCACCUAUUCUAUAGAGGAUAAGAACUUCAUUCCUGCAUCUCCGGUGAUUUUUAGGGAGGAGUCUCGUAAUGAUGGUGGGGGUGGUAUGGACAAGGUUUCUGAACAAGAGGAUAAAAGUCCAGAACAUGCUUUCAAAAAGCAUAAAUUAGAUGGGAAGGGGGGUGGUGCUGGUUCUAUGGCAGGGGGUUUUGGUGAUGGAGAAGAUUCUCCAAUGCUUGGGGCUGCUGCCAUUUCACCCUUGGAGAAGGCUAAUGAACCUGUGCCUGCUGUGAUGAAGGGUUUUCCUUUGCUCAACUUGUCUGCCCUGCAUUCUGUACGUCCCUCUUUGAAUGGCCGAACUGGGGCAGAUCUGAAGCUGCAUAAGAAUGGAAUGUCAUCUGCUGCUGGGUUUCUUUCUGGUGGCAAAAGGAGCUCUGUUGUUGGGUCAUAUGAUACUAAUGGCUGCAACUUAAUGCUACAGAGUAUUCUUGAUGAGCAGAUAGUGAGUAACAUGAAAGGGGCUGACCCGACUGGUGUGAUUAACUCUGUACACACGACCAGGAUUGUGCCUGACGCAAGCAGCUGGUCCAAGGUACAUGCUUUCCUCCCUCCCUCGCUUGAAUUUGGUCCUACUAUGCGUACUGAAUUUUAUCAGCAGGCUGCACGACAGAAGCAUAGAAUGCAGAAUAUUUACUCACAACUUUCUGCUGGAGUAUUUUCUUGUGGCAAAAGGAAUAUUGUUGUUGGGUCAGAUAGCACUAAUGGCUGCAACUUUUUGCUACAGAAUAUUCCUGAUGAGCAGUUAGUAAGUAACAAGAAGGGGGUUGGUCCGUCUGUUGUGCUUACUUCGGCACACACGGCCAUGAAUAUGCCAGCGGCAUGUUGCUGGUCCAUGGUACAUGUUUGUCCCCCUCCCAUUCUUGAAAUUUAUCCUCCUCCUAUGCAGACUGAAUAUUCUUUGCAGCCUGCAUUCCAGGGACAGAGGAGUUUUGCAUUUGAAAGGGAGGGCCAGCCGAUGGAUGAUGUAAGGAAGAUUGAACGCAGUUUGCAUAUUGGGGCGGGGCAAGUAAAAUUGCCCAUCCCACCGGAGAAGAAACUGAUGCCUCCGGGGAAAGGUUCGAAUUUUUUUCCAUUAUACAAAAACAAUUCAGACUCACCUGCUUUUGUUCGUAGAAGUGCACGCUUUAUUGCCUUAUCUAAAGAUGGAUCUACUCAUGUAGAUGAGGAUUCUACUUUGAAGGCUAUGAAGAGGGCUUCUCGUCGCAAUCUUGAUGGCGAUUUGAGUGGAUUCAAGCCGGCUGGUCAAGCGCUACGCACGGUGUCCACUUCAUCUCUUCCGAUUGGGCCGUUUCAGUCAGGUAUGGAGCAAGCUUCGGCUGUCACUGCUAUCAAUGAUCUGUCAAAUCUUUCUUGUGCCAGUAAGCUAAAAAAGAUAGGAUUCAUGUUGGGCGAUGAUGAGUCUGCAGUUAAUAGAUCGAUCAAUGGUUUAAAAAAAAUGGAAUUGGAUAGGAAGGCUACUAAUUCACACACUACUCUUGAAUCACCCAGCUUGGAAGAGAGCAAUACAGGUAACUCUUGCUCGGUGAGUGAUGAGGAGGUUGAUGAAAUAAACAAUGACCUCUUAACUCACCUACUAAAGGAUGUAGCUGAUGCGAACUUUGACGAUGUAGACCUGGACACAAAAAUUUGUGAUCUUAUGGCAUCUGCAAGACAGUCAAAAAAGCGCCCUAAAAAUCAUAAAAGCCAAUAUGGUGGGGGGAUGUCGAAACAAAAAAUGAAUGGUUCCUAAUGAAGGGCUUUUUCUGGAAUAGCAGAGGUCUUUCAGACUUGGCUAAAUAUCGUUACAUUUCGGAGGCUGUGAGGGACCACAACCUAGACUUCUUAGCGAUAAUGGAAACCGGAAAGCAGGAUAUGUCCACUGCAAAUUUGGCGCGUCUGUCUGGUGGAGUAGAUUUUAUCUGGCACUGUCUUCCACCGAGGGGCAGAUCUGGUGGCAUCCUUCUGGGAGUUAGAGCGGAUGCUUUUGAUGUAACCCUUAUCGCUGAAGGAAAAUUUUACAUUAAAUUCCAUCUGUGCAAUAGAACAGAUAACUUCAAAUGGAUUUUGAUGGUUGCGUAUGGCCCAGCUCAAGAAGAAUUCAAAUCAGCUUUUCUAACGGAGCUUGUUCGGGCUUGCCAUCAGAUUUCUCUUCCGUUCCUCAUUGGGGGGGAUUUUAAUAUAAUGAGAAGCAGUAAGGAGAAAAACAAUGACAGGUUUAAUGGUCGCUGGCCUUUUCUCUUCAAUGUUGUGAUAGAUAGCUUGGAUUUAAGAGAAAUAGACCUAACAGGUAGACAAUAUACCUGGGCAAAUUCCCUCCCCAUACCUACUUAUGAAAAGCUCGAUAGAGCACUCAUGUCUACAGAAUGGGAAUUUAAGUUUCCUUUGGUAACACUCCAAGCCUUAGAUAGAGGCGUAUCCGACCAUACCCCCUUGCUUCUUAACACUGGCUAUCCUGCCUUCGUUGGAAGUAAGAAGAAAUUCAAGUUUGAACUGAAUUGGCUACAAAGGGAAGGUUUUCAGGACCAUAUCAAGGAAAUUUGGGCUAAUUCAUGUAAGGGUCGUAACUCGGUGCAAAGAUGGAAUAAUAAGCUGAGCGCAUUACGGCGGUUCCUCCGAGGUUGGGCGGCCCAAACAAAUGGGGAUUAUAAGAAAAGGAAAUCAGACCUCCAAAAUAUUAUCUGCACGUUGGAUACUGAAGCUGAAACAAGAGAUCUGAAUGAGUCUGAGCUUGUCUGCUUGACUCACUCACGUGACCAGUUGACCAAACUUCUCAGGGAGGAAGAGAUCAAGUAUUUUCAACGGGCAAAAACAAAGGAUGUUCUCCUAGGAGAUAACAACACAAAAUACUUUCAUAUGAUUGCCAAUGGGAAACACAGAAAAAAGAGAAUCUUCUCGCUUGAGAAUGGCAAUUCUAAAGUAGAAGGUCACGACAAUCUUAAAAAGUUUAUCACUGAGUUUUACAAAGGUUUAUUUGGUGAGCCGGAGGAAAACUCCUUCACUUUAGAUGAAUCCUUUAAUCAAGAUAUCCCACAGGUCUCUUGUCAGGAAAAUAGCUUACUCACGGCAAAUUUUUCGGAAACUGAAAUAAAGGAGGCCAUCUUUUCAAUGAAUCACAAUAAGGCUCCAGGUCCGGAUGGUUUUCCAGUUGAAUUUUAUCAACAAUUUUGGGAGACCAUCAAGGACGACCUAGUGCAAAUGUUUAAGGAUUUAUCAAAGGGAGACCUCCCUCUAUUUAGCCUUAAUUUUGGAGUGAUCACCCUCAUUCCUAAGGUGCAAGAGGCAAAUAUUAUUCAGCAAUAUAGGCCAAUCUGUCUUCUGAAUGUGAGCUAUAAAAUAUUCACCAAGGUGACCACUAAUAGGCUGGGUUCAGUAGCAGAUAAGGUUGUUAGCCCGACGCAGACGGCCUUUAUCAAAGGUCGUAAUAUCCUGGAAGGGGUGGUAAUUCUACAUGAAACAAUACACGAACUCCAUCGGAAAAAACUCAGUGGUGUAAUCCUUAAGCUUGACUUUGAGAAAGCCUAUGAUAAGGUGAGGUGGCCUUUUUUAUAUCAAACUCUCAGGAUGAAGGGUUUCUCGUCCAAAUGGAUAUCUUGGAUUAAGACCUUCAUUUCGGGAGGAAGUGUAGCGGUGAAUGUUAAUGACGAUAUCGGAGAUUUCUUUCAAACAAAAAAAGGACUCCGACAAGGGGAUCCUUUAUCUCCCCUCUUGUUCAAUAUUAUGGAAGACAUGCUACAAGUGUUCAUUAGUAGGGCCAAAACGGAUGAGCAGGUUGUGGGAAUGAUCCCUCACCUUGUUGAUGGCGGGCUCUCAAUUCUCCAAUACGCAGAUGAUACUAUACUCUUUAUGGAUCAUGAUCCGGACAAAGCGUGCAAUAUGAAGCUUCUUCUAUUUGCAUUUGAACAAGCUUCAGGCCUAAAGAUCAACUUCCAUAAGAGUGAAGUGUUUUGUUUUGGGGCUGCCCAGGAGAAUUUAGAACUUUAUACAGAACUCUUUGGAUGUAAACCGGGUAACCUCCCCAUCAAUUACCUUGGUAUUCCAAUCCACUUCCGAAAGCUAAAAAAUAGAGACUGGGCUAAAGUCGAAGAGCGCUUUGAGAAGAGACUUAGCAGUUGGAAAGGGAAGCACUUGUCUAUCGGAGGACGCCUGACUUUGAUUAAGUCAGUGCUUAGUAGCCUACCGAUGUAUAUGAUGUCCUUCUUCUCCCUACCUAAAGGGGUCCUUAAGAAGUUAGACUAUUUUCGAUCGAGAUUCUUUUGGCAGGGGAAUGAAAACAAAAGGAAAUAUAGACUUGCUAAAUGGAACAUUCUAUGUCAACCUCAGGAUCAAGGGGGCCUUGGUAUCUUGGAUCUAAAUAUGAUGAAUACAGCCCUUCUCAGUAAAUGGUUGUACAAGCUACUCACCUCAGAUGGAAUGUGGCAACAAUUACUGCGUAAUAAAUAUGUUGGCUCAAAACCUUUGUCUCAUGUGCAGUGGAAACUUGGUGACUCCCAUUUUUGGUCAGGCUUAAUGAAAGUAAAGCUAACCUUCCUCCGUUUUGGCUCAUUCCUCAUAAAGGAUGGCUCUCAAGUGAGGUUCUGGGAGGAUGCCUGGUUGGAUGGGUCCUCUUUAAAAGACCAAUAUCCAGCCCUGUAUAACAUUGCGAGGAAAAAAUUCAUUUCAAUAUCAGAAGCCUUGAGCGUUUCGCCUCCGAACUUUUCCUGGCGGAGACAGUUAUUUGGAGCCAAUUUGAUCGAUUGGCUUUCUCUUUUGUCACGCAUACAAGGUGUGGAGCUGUCCCACGAACAGGACACCUUCCGCUGGACCCUUUCCAUGAAUGGUAGAUUCUCGGUUAAAUCGCACUACGCUGCUUUGAUGCUCAGAAAUAUCCCUAAUGUUAAUAAAGAGCUUUGGAAGCUAAAGGCCCCCCUGAAAUUUAAAAUUUUUCUAUGGUAUUUACGUAAGGGCGUAAUUCUCACAAAAGACAAUUUGGCUAAACGAAACUGGCAAGGUAGUUUGUCAUGCGCCUCUUGUCACAAGGAAGAGACCAUUCAACACCUCUUCUUUGAUUGUCGGUUUGCUCGAUCAGUCUGGAGCGUGUUUCUGAUGGCCACCGGAAUCAACCAACCACAAAAUGUAGACCAUAUGUUUGGGGAUUGGCUUCAAGGUUUUAAUAGUGUGCUGAAACCAUUGCUUCUACUUGGAGCGGCCGUGCUGUGCUGGGCGCUCUGGAUCUGUAGAAAUGACUUAGUUUUUGAGAAAAAAAUCUUGUGUUCUCCUUUGCAGGUUAUCCAUUUGGCGUCACAGAAGCUAUCAAGUUGGGCCAUCCUUCAGCGAGAGGAGCUGCGACCGUUGGUUGUGGAGGGUUCGCGACUCUUGGUGCGAACGGCCACGGUCUUUUUUUCCCGGGUGCAUGGGUGGCGAUCUAGUCUUCGGAUUGACUGUCGCUAGACUGGGAAAGUUGCUGCGUUUAUGUUUGUUUGUUUUUUUUUAGUUUGGCUAUGUGCAUUAGGCAGAGGCCGGAAGUUUGUGUACCAAGACUAUGUAUCCUCUUGAUGUAUCGCUCUUGGUAACCUUUAAUAUAAAGCUUCCUUUAUCGAAAAAACUAACUACGAUAGUUCCCAAAAAAGUUUCUAAAUUAAUUUUGGUGCUAUUAUCCAAAAAUCAUGCUCCAAAAGUGUCCUUAACAGAACAGACCCAAACUUGUUUUUCUUUCCUUUGGAACAGAGGAUUUUUUUCUUGUUUCCUAUGUUUUUUCUGUGAAAAUGAACUGACUCCUAUAAAAUCCUUGUAUGAUUUCUUUAAAAUUCUUGCAUUCCAAAGGAACCCUUAAAAAGAAGGUCCAAAAUUAUAAAGUUGAAUAUUCAAGGGUAAAAUCACAAUUGCACUUUCAUCCAAGGACAUAAAUACAAUAGCCCCUUCUUAUAUUGUCCUCCCCUUCGCUAAGCUCUAUCAAAUGCGUCUUUCUUGAUGAGAUUGGAUGUUGGAUUACGGCCGGAGCCAAACAUCUUCAGAGCUUUGGCUUAGAGCUUGCGCGUAACCUUCACAGGGUCUAGGGAGUGGUGUGUGUUUUUGUUUUGAGUAAGCCUGCUUAGGGCUUUGUACCUUGGUCCAUUUUGGACCUUUUUUCUUCUCUAAUUAAAAUGAUGUGCAGUUCUCCUACGCUUUCGAAAAAAAAAUAUUGUCCUCAUCAUCGUCUCUUUGGCCUUUCAGUUUAACGUUUGAAAAAUGCAUAAUUUACAUUACAUAGCAAACAAUUCAGCUUCGAGGAUGCCAAGACCUGCACUAUAAUUUUAUGCAGAUGCUUACAACGCUGACAUUCUCGUUCCCAAGUCGUUAAUUCAGACAAAAUCAUGCUCUGAGAAAUAAAAGUUUACCAAACAUCUAGAUAAACCCAGUGAAUUCGGUAUAUGGUCCUUCAAUUUCUACUGUCUUACACGAAUCAUGUUAUUUUCAAAAUAUCAAAUUGUGAAAAUUAUCAGUAUAUGUGCAAAUAUAGAAGGGGUACCGAACUAGUCAAAACUCUCUAGUUCCAAGUGUCUUCAGUUGUUGCAUUCUGUAUUGCCAGGAGGAAGACUUUUGCUAUCGACAAUAACUAGUCAAGUCAACAUGCUUGG
rnacentral:lncRNA from 1 species